rnacentral:tRNA from 1 species
AGGGGAGUAGCUCAAUUGGUAGAGUAGCGGACUCCAAAUCCGUUGGUCGCAGGUUCGAAUCCUGUCUCCCCUG